AAACUAUAAAAGUAUUCUAAAAUCUAUCUUUCCGUAAUAUGUUUGGCCAGCAGGGGCCACUAUUCAUCAUUUAAAGUCUCAAGAAAUGAUACACAGUUCAAAGUUUUCCCGCUUCUUUAGGUGGUUAUUAGAAGUUUUUUCCAUCUAAUCUACAGUUUCAGGUAAAAUAGGUCAACCGAAUGUCUUAUGCUCUAAAAAACACUUUUUACUCCCGUCAACAACUUUAUUUGAUCCUGCCUAUGAUCUUUCAGUCCAUGUCUAAUGUCCAUUCAAAGGUCAGUUGCGCCACAGCGCCCUCUAGAGGCCCCCUGAAGUGUACAAACAGAAGAAAGAAGAAAAAGAGUGGCAGGGGGCGGGGUUUCACUGCAGGCAAAAAUCCUCAAAGGCUCAGUCGUUGUUCCCAGUGUAAAAGACAAAUCAGGUCCACUUUCAUGCGUGUAUAUUCUGUGAAAAGGACAGACAAGCCUCACGAAAGUAGCAAACAUGGAAUCAGGCGAAGACCAAAACACAAGCAGCACAAACGGAAACCCUCAGACAAGCGGGAACUCCCGGGCACCCCAGAUUGCCCGCAUGUCUUUGUAUGAGAGACAAGCUGUACAGGCUCUUCAAGCUCUGCAGAGACAGCCUAAUGCAGCCCAGUACUUCCAGCAGCUCAUGCUGCAGCAGCAGAUCAAUACAGCCCAACUACAAAACUUUGCUGUGCAACAGGCCACACUUGCAGCUAGUCGCCAGUCUAAUACACCAAGUAACAGCAUUUCACCGGCUCCCACCACUGUUAAUUUAAGCACUACAUCUUCCGGUGGGACUAUGAGCAGUCCUCGUCCACACGGUCCGGCUACGUCUGCAACAACAACAGCUCUCAACCAGUCAGUGCUGUUGGGUGGAAACUCUGCAGGACAGGGACAGAUGUAUCUUAGGGUGAACCGCUCUCUAAGGAAUCCGCUUACCUCUCAGCUCAUCUUCAUGCCCGGCGGGACGACCGCGGCCGUAGCAACGGUAGCUCAGACACAAACACAACCCCAGCAGCAGCAACAGCAUGACACUGCUUCCACCACUCCAUGUGCCCAGGCUGACAACGACCAGGUGCAGAACCUGGCUCUACACUGUGCCUCUAACGCCAAAGCCGUCGCUGUAAAGGCUGAAAAUGUAGAGAGGAAGGAUGCCGGCGGUUUUUCUCUCGCUCAGCAGCAGCAGACUUUCUCUCAGCAGCAGCAGAUGGCUAAAGCCAGCUUUAACCAGCCGUCUGCCUCCAGCACUCUGACUGUGAAGACCGGGAACCAGGCUGCCAUGACUGUGGCCCCUGCAGCCUCUGUGGCCCCGUCCUCCUCUUCAUCAUCCCCAGCGCUCCCCCUCUCUCAGCUCCUCCUGGCUCCGUCUUCUCCCGUCAUCCUGGUGCCCACGUCAAAUGUCCCUACCUCCACCCAGGGCUACUCAAUCGGUUCUGUGGCCCCGAAGGCCAGCAUGAACCCACAGACUCUGGUGGUGCAGCCCCUUCAGCAGGCCAACGCUAACAUGGAAAAGGGUCCCGUCCCGAUACAGCCCAAGACGGCACAGGGACACCGCUUACCCGUUCAGCUGUCGCCUCGGCAGCCGCCUCCCAUACUGCCAGCGCCGCCAAGCAACAGUCAGGCUAAUGCUGGGGGUCACAACCCUCCACACAUCCCGGUCCAGCUUGUGGGAGCCAGGCAGGGCUUGGCAGGAAAUGCACAAGCUGUGGCUUUGGCUCAGGCGCGGAGCAACGCGGUUCUGGAGAGUCCAUCUGGUGUGGCGGUUAGCUCAGUCCCAAGCAGUGCUGCCAUGACAAAGCCAUUGGUCGGCUCUCUGAAGAGAAAAUCUGAGAGUGAUGUGCCAAAUGAGAUGUCAGAAGCGUCAGAUUCUGCCCCCAUGAAGGACGCAGCUCCUCCUUUAUCUCCUGCCCCCACAAAGGACUCGGCUCCUGCUGUUGAUGCCACGUUCUCCGCGCCCCCGACGUUGUCCUUGUCUCUGCCCUUGUCCAGAGGUUGUCAUGGGGACAAAGUUCCUCAGGCGGUAGUCAAACCUCAAGUCCUCACUCAUCUCAUCGAGGGCUUCGUUAUUCAAGAGGGAGCCGAGCCCUUCCCUGUUGCUGGACUCCUCAAAGACAGAGAUUUUGCUCUGGCUGGUCGCACAGAGAACGGUCCUCCAUUGUUGAAAUGUGAGUACUGUGGAUGCUUUGCUCCAGCCAGCCAGUUCAGGGGAUCAAAGAGGUUCUGUUCAAACACUUGUGCAAAGAGGUAUAAUGUAAGCUGCAGCCAGCACUACAAGUCCAGCAGAGGGAGGAGUGGUGGGGGGCCGCCGCUACCUUCCAGCCCCACAGAAAGCUCUGCUAAACGCAGAGGUCCUUCCCGACGGGGGAGUUCAAAUAGCACCUACAGUAAAGUAUCAAGCAAGCAUCUUUCUGUCAAGUGUCACUCAGAGUCCAGUCGCUCAGAAGACGUGUCCAGUGAGGGGGAGGAAGAGGACGACUCUUCCUCGCUGUCCAGAAGCUCGUUACGCUCGUGCUCCAGAGCUGAGCACAGCGCUCCUCCCUCCGACAGCUCGGCACCUGGAAGUCUCCUGAUCGAAGGGGCCAACUUCCUCUCCGCGACUCCGGCUCAGUGGAGCGUGGAAGAAGUCUGCAAGUUCAUCUCCUCGCUUCAAGGUUGCGAGGAGCUGGCGGCCCAGUUUCUGUCGCAGGAAAUAGACGGACAGGCUCUGCUGCUGCUGAGAGAAGACCACCUAAUCUCCACCAUGAACAUUAAACUGGGUCCGGCUCUGAAGAUUUGUGCCUCAAUCAACAGUCUGCGCGAGUGAUGGCUGGGCCUUCAUUUCUGAUGCCUCACUUGGGACUCGAUUGUGUGGAUGUUUUGAUUUUGAUCAGUUGAUCCCGAUCAAUCUGAAGGUGCUUUUCAGACCACAUGAACCUUUUAAUCCAGUUCCUCCUCUGUGAUGUUUGUCUUGCUUUAGGGCAGGAGCUUUUCUUUACAACCUAUGAGUGACAUAAAGGGAUGUGACUGAUUCAGUUCAGAGGUUGCAUUGAUUGACUGAGCUACAGUCAGUUUGUUCUCAGUGUGUCCUAAAGCUCUUAGAGAACCUUUAAGUUGCUUGGUGCCAGAACGCCCACAGUUCCUUGCUAAACUGUUUUCUGCCCUUGAUUUUUCACAUUUUGUCUCAUUGCAACCACAAACUUUGAGUCUUUAUCUGGGAUUUUACGUCAACCAACACAAAGUAACACAAAAGAGUGGCGUGCAUUGGGAUUCAUACUCCAUAGAUCUACCUUUUGCUCGUUGGAGUAUGUCUCUACCUGCUUCAUCCUCUGUAGAGGACGUUGCCAUGGAGAUCCAUUUUUCUGCAGCUGCACAGUUCUGCUGUAAUGUGUGUUGGUCUAUCACCAUUGAUGGUUGUUGUCUUAACGUGACAAAAUGGGGAAAAACGUUAAGUUGUGUAAUUACAUUUUUUUUUUUUUCAAGGCACUCGAUAGACAGUAUUCUUUCUGUGCAGACUUAUGCAUACUGGUAUGUGUAAGCCGUUGAUAUCAUGAACUGAAGUGUUCCUUUCAUAAGUGUUUGUCUUUUUCUUUGUCUGAAACUUGAUAUAUUGUAUGUAGACUCCUUGAAAACUCCAACUCUCGCUGCCAGUCAGGUGUUCCUGCCCAAACUUCUUCACUUCAAACAGUAUUUUAAAAAGAUGCCAAGCCCAGGCUACAAUCACAUCACCGACAAUGACACUCAACAAGCCUGGUGUUUUAGUAGUUUUUUUUUUUUUUAAUAGUCAUGAAGAGUUUAGUUUUGUAUUUUCUCAUUUUUAUAGUACAAUCAGAAUUAUUUUUUCAUGAGACAAUAUAGUUGUAGAAGCUUUAAUAAAGUACCUGGAAGUGGGUACUCAUGCUCUGCUCUUUCAAGGGCUAAAUGGAAGUGCUCUCUGUACAUGUAUGCAGUACUAUCAAUAAACAUUACUGGAACUGA